CAGCCGCCACGGUAAUACGAAGGGGGCUAGCGUUGUUCGGAUUUACUGGGCGUAAAGCGCACGUAGGCGGACUUUCAAGUCAGGGGUGAAAUCCCGGGGCUCAACCCCGGAACUGCCUUUGAUACUGGGAGUCUUGAGUUCGAGAGAGGUGAGUGGAAUUGCGAGUGUAGAGGUGAAAUUCGUAGAUAUUCGCAGGAACACCAGUGGCGAAGGCGGCUCACUGGCUCGAUACUGACGCUGAGGUGCGAAAGCGUGGGGAGCAAACAGGAUUAGAUACCCCAUAGUCCCUGUCUCUUAUACA
rnacentral:rRNA from 1 species